UAGGGAAUCUUCGGCAAUGGACGAAAGUCUGACCGAGCAACGCCGCGUGAGUGAAGAAGGUUUUCGGAUCGUAAAACUCUGUUGGUAGAGAAGAACAAGGACGUUAGUCACUGAACGUCCCCUGACGGUAUCUAACCAGAAAGCCACGGCUAACUACGUGCCAGCAGCCGCGGUAAUACGUAGGUGGCAUGCGUUGUCCGGAUUUAUUGGGCGUAAAGCGAGCGCAGGCGGUUUCUUAAGUCGGAUGUGAAAGCCCCCGGCUCAACCGGGGAGUGUCAUUGGAAACUGGGAGAUUUGAGUGCAGAAGCGGAGAGUGGAAUUCCAUGUCUAGCGGUGAAAUGCGUAGAUAUAUGGGGGAACACCAGUGGCCAAGGCGGCUCUCUGGUCUGUCACUGACGCUGAGGCUCGAAAGCGUGGGGAGCAAACAGG
rnacentral:rRNA from 1 species